rnacentral:rRNA from 1 species
AUGGCUGUCGUCAGCUCGUGCCGUGAGGUGUUGGGUUAAGUCCGCAACGAGCGCAACCCCUACUGCCAGUUACUAACAGGUGAAGCUGAGGACUCUGGCGGAACUGCCGGUGACAAACCGGAGGAAGGUGGGGAUGACGUCAAGUCAUCAUGGCCCUUAUGUCCAGGGCUACACACGUGCUACAAUGGGCGAGACAGAGCGACGCGAAGCCGCGAGGUGGAGCAAAUCGCAGAAAAUCGCCCUCAGUUCGGAUUGGAGUCUGAAACCCGACUCCAUGAAGGUGGAAUCGCUAGUAAUCGCGCAUCAGCAUGGCGCGGUGAAUACGUUCCCGGGCCUU